UACGGGGGGGGCAAGCGUUGUUCGGAAUUAUUGGGCGUAAAGAGCUCGUAGGCGGCUUGUCACGUCGAUUGUGAAAGCUCGGGGCUUAACCCCGAGUCUGCAGUCGAUACGGGCUAGCUAGAGUGUGGUAGGGGAGAUCGGAAUUCCUGGUGUAGCGGUGAAAUGCGCAGAUAUCAGGAGGAACACCGGUGGCGAAGGCGGAUCUCUGGGCCAUUACUGACGCUGAGGAGCGAAAGCGUGGGGAGCGAACAGG
rnacentral:rRNA from 1 species